rnacentral:rRNA from 1 species
UGGGGAAUAUUGCACAAUGGGCGAAAGCCUGAUGCAGCGACGCCACGUGAGCGAAGAAGUAUUUCGGUAUGUAAAGCUCUAUCAGCAGGGAAGAACAUGACGGUACCUGACUAAGAAGCCCCGGCUAACUACGUGCCAGCAGCCGCGGUAAUACGUAGGGGGCGAGCGUUAUCCGGAUUUACUGGGUGUAAAGGGUGUGUAGGCGGAGAGGCAAGUCAGAUGUGAAAUUUACGGGCUCAACCUGUGAACUGCGUCUGAAACUGUUUCCCUUGAGUGUCGGAGAGGUAAUUGGAAUUCCAUGUGUAGCGGUGAAAUGCGUAGAUAUAUGGAGGAACACCGGUGGCGAAGGCGGAUUACUGGACGACAACUGACGCUGAGACACGAAAGUGUGGGGAGCAAACAGG